rnacentral:lncRNA from 10 species
GGAGUUUUCCUCUUGUUGCCCAUGCUGGAGUGCAGUGGCGCUAUCUCGACUCACCGCAACCUCUGCCUCCCAGAUUCAAGUGAUUCUCCUACCUCAGCCUUCCGAGUAGCUAUGAUUACAGGCAUGCGCCACCAUGCCCGACUAAUUUUGUAUUUUUAAUAGAGAUGGGGUUUCUCCAUGUUGGUCAGUUUGGUCUCGAACUCCCUACCUCAGGUGAUCCACCCACCUCGGCCUCCCAAAGUGCUGGGAUUACAGGCGUGAGCCACCGCGCCCGGCAACCUGAUGGGUUUCAAAUGACCCCCCGGGUGCUCCACAUCUCAAAAGUUGCUCCCAUGAAUCUGGAAUGCUAUCUGUUCCUUGGGGAUCAGGUCCCACCUGUGUCUCUGAGACACUGACUUGAGAUGAGGCCAAUGAGUUCAAGCAUAAAUUGCCUAAGUCAUCAUCAGCUUCAUGUUGUGUUCUGGAGCUUGUCCACUUAAGAGGGUUGAUUUAAAAAUGGCUCACAAGACACAUGCCUGGGAAACGGAGUUUUCUCCUUUGCUCUUAGCAGAUCUUGGGCAACCCAAUAAUUAACCUUCUUGAUUUCUCAACUUUCACAUUUGCGAAAAAGGCGCUAAUGCCCGUGACAUUUCCCUGAAGACACAGUCCUUGUCACCCCCUACAAAGCUCUGAAGUUGUGCACAGGUGGGCCAGGUGGCUGAUUUCUCUCAAAAGCAGCUGAGCUCGCGCUCUGGCUAGAGAAGGCAGAGGGCUGCGGCACAACGGACAUUGUCUCAGACAUCAGGACAGUUUCCAUUGCAGUUUAGGAAAGAAGGCAGCUCCCUGGGCUGGAAAUGACGCAACACUCUGGAAAGACCCUUGGGUGCGGGUGAGAGAGGCAACCCAGCUGCAUAGGGCCAAUGAGAGGAGGCCGAACCACCCGAUUUGGACAAAGGAGUUCCUACCAUAUUUUAUUUGCAAGCCAUUUCUCCCACAUUAUUCUGGAAGGCUGAAGCCUGUCGAUGCAUCCAAAAAUAGAUCUGUCCUGGAUCUUUUCUCACAAGUCAGCCAGCUGUCAAGACACCUGAGAUGUGAUUCUUUCACAUGGCAGAGCCUCUCGUCAAAACAUGAACUGAGCUUCCUCUUAUCUUAUGGACAGCUGAUGCGUGGAGGUGGAUUUAUGAAUUGGCCUCAUGCUGCACUCAAGCAGUUUGGCCAGGACUCAAUGCUCAUUGCCAAGAUGAAAAUCAGCAAACUAGCAGUUUGCUUUUAUGAUGUUCUCCAGCCUGCAACCAAGACACUUAUCCUGGCCACUUCUUCAGCUCUGACAUAAGGUUGUGCUGAUAUAAAUGCAAACCCAGCUCUAUGUCUACCAAACACCUAUAUGGCUAGGACUGCAAAUGGAGCAUUUAAGCACCAGGCAAGAGGUCUUCCCAGUUUCCAACCAGACUUUGUAGAAUUUCCCCAAAAUACUGACUUAGCCUCUUUCAGACCCUAUCUCCCAAAGAGAAUCAGAGAGGGGCUCUGGAAGCCAUUUAGACUGUCUGGCCUCUUCCCUAGUGAAAAUGGACUUGGAUACAAAAAGGCAACCUACUGACCUCAAAGAUACCAGCCCAGAUACUGAGCAUGGACCUCCUGCCUCCCCAGGACAGACGUCAUCUAAGCCAGAUCAAAGCCCACACUGUUCCUCCAUGUGCACCUUUCAGACAUGUUCCUGAACAGCCCUCUAGAAUUGUCUGGAGAUGGGACAAGAGGUGAUGGAGCUCCAGGUUCAGAAUGGCUGCCUCAUCCCUCCCUCCUGAAAAGUCUAUACCUGCUGAUUAGAGCUCUCACACCUUAAGGGGCUUAGCCCUCCCCAAGUAAGUGUUCCCUAAAAGGACCUUCUGGUCUUUUUCUACUCUGAGCAGAGUGCUCAGAAAUGACACCCUCUAUGCUAGGGAAUAUAUGACCUCCACUCCCACACGACUUGGUUGACUGAUGAACUGAUGCCCUGAAGAGGAAAAAGAAGCAGGAACAGCCUGUUUCCCCAACCGUGAUGUCUGUUGGAGGAACCCCAAAUAAUACUGGGUGGUAAACACACAGGCACUGCCUAAUAAAAUUAAGGAAAUUUAAGUUGAAUGUAAAGGGAACUUAUAUGUCAUAUACAAAAUUUAAGUUAGUGAAUUUUAGAAGAAAACUUUGUAAGGGCAUUAACAUAUAAUUUUAAUAUAUAAUUUUAAUUUAAUUAAAAUUAAUAAAUUUAAUUUUAAUAACAAUUUAAUAGGAAGCUAUAAAAAUUAUCUGCACUUGCUGUGUAAACAACUGAAUUUUGGGUAACUAUGUAAAGGCCAUCUAUGGGCUUCAAAAGGUAUCUGCUACUUAAUGUUAUAAGACAUUUACUUUCAAAUAUUUGCUAUUUUUAACCAGUGCCUUCCUAUGAUAUGAAUUUUCUUCUUUUUUUCUUUCUUUUUUUUUUUUCCUGCGAUGGAGUCUCACUCUGUCACCCAGGCUGGAGUGCAGUGGUAUGAUCUCAGCUCACUGCAAACUCCACCUCCCAGAUUCAAGAGAUUCUCCUGCUUC